rnacentral:rRNA from 1 species
GACGAACGCUGGCGGCGUGCUUAACACAUGCAAGUUGAACGAGAAUUUUUCGAGUGAUUUCUUCGGAAUGAUCAUGAAAAAGGAAAGUAGCGAACGGGUGAGUAACACGUGAGAAACCUGCCUUUCACAAAGGGAUAGCCUCGGGAAACCGGGAUUAAUACCUUAUGAAACCAAACACUCGCAUGAGAGAUUGGUUAAAGAUUUAUCGGUGUUAGAUGGUCUCGCGUCUGAUUAGCUAGUUGGUGGGAUAAAAGCCUACCAAGGCAACGAUCAGUAGCCGGGUUGAGAGGUUGAACGGCCACACUGGAACUGAGACACGGUCCAGACUCCUACGGGAGGCAGCGGUGGGGAAUUUUGCACAAUGGAGGAAACUCUGAUGCAGCGACGCCGCGUGAGUGAUGAAGGUCUUCGGAUUGUAAAACUCUGUCCUUAGUGAAGAUAAUGACAGUAACUAAGAAGCAAGCCCUGGCUAAAUACGUG